UACAGAGGUCCCAAGCGUUGUUCGGAUUUAUUGGGCGUAAAGGGUGCGUAGGCGGCGGAGUAAGUUGGGUGUGAAAUCCCGGGGCUCAACCCCGGAACUGCACUUGAUACUGCGUGGCUAGGGUACUGGAGAGGAGACUGGAAUUUACGGUGUAGCAGUGAAAUGCGUAGAUAUCGUAAGGAAGACCAGUGGCGAAGGCGAGUCUCUGGACAGUUACCGACGCUGAGGCACGAAGGCCAGGGGAGCAAACGGG
rnacentral:rRNA from 1 species